rnacentral:tRNA from 3 species
CCAUGGUCAAGUGGUUAAGACACCGCCCUUUCACGGCGGUAACACGGGUUCAAAUCCCGUUGGA